UACAGAGGGGGCAAGCGUUAUUCGGAAUUAUUGGGCGUAAGGGGCGCGUAGGCGGCUUGGCAAGUGGAAGGUGAAAUCCCUCGGCUUAACCGAGGAACUGCCCUCCAAACUGCUUCGCUUGAGACCGGGAGAGGUGAGUGGAAUUCCCAGUGUAGCGGUGAAAUGCGUAGAUAUUGGGAGGAACACCAGUGGCGAAGGCGGCUCACUGGACCGGUACUGACGCUGAUGCGCGAAAGCGUGGGGAGCAAAUGGG
rnacentral:rRNA from 1 species